GGGGCUGAAGUCGGUCCCAAGGGUAUGGCUGUUCGCCAUUUAAAGUGGUACGCGAGCUGGGUUCAGAACGUCGUGAGACAGUUCGGUCCCUAUCUGCCGUGGGCGUUGGAUGAUUGAAGGGAGUUGCUCCUAGUACGAGAGGACCGGAGUGAACGAACCUCUGGUGUUCGGGUUGUCACGCCAGUGGCACUGCCCGGUAGCUAAGUUCGGAAUCGAUAACCGCUGAAAGCAUCUAAGCGGGAAGCGAGCCCUGAGAUGAGUCAUCCCUGACCCCUUGAGGGUCCUAAAGGGCCGUUGGAGACCACAACGUUGAUAGGUGGGGUGUGUAAGUGCAGCGAUGCAUUGAGCUAACCCAUACUAAUUACCCGUGAGGCUUAACCAUACAACACCCAAGAAGUGUUCUG
rnacentral:rRNA from 1 species